CACGUAGGGUGCGAGCGUUGUCCGGAAUUAUUGGGCGUAAAGAGCUCGUAGGCGGUGUGUCGCGUCGGCCGUGAAAACCUGCAGCUUAACUGUGGGCUUGCGGUCGAUACGGGCAUCACUGGAGUUCGGCAGGGGAGACUGGAAUUCCUGGUGUAGCGGUGAAAUGCGUAGAUAUCUGGAGGAACACCGGUGGCGAAGGCGGCAUCCUGGACCGGCAUUGACGCUGAGGCGCGAAAGCCAGGGGAGCAAACGGG
rnacentral:rRNA from 1 species